GCGACCGUUGGGCUCGCGCCGGGCAUCACCUGCGCCCACCCCCCUCAGCGCCCGGCGCGGGACCCUGAGAGGGUCCCCCUCAGCGGUCCCUUCGCGCUGAGAGACGAGGGGAAAGUGGCGAUGCGGUCGCUCAGAGCACCGAGAUUGAGAAAGAAUUAGGCAAACUGACGUGGCUGGAGAGGGAAACGGGAAUGAGGGCAUAACUGGCCCUGCAGAGCUCAGAAAGCUCCCUCAGAAACAAGGGCACAGCAUUUCACCGCCUCGGUCCUUCAGUCCAGCUCUCUGAACUCCUGGUAUAAAGUGAUGCGUAUUGAAAGUACCAAACCAAAAGAGCAUCACUAAAGCAGGGAAGUUUACUGCACAUGAAUGCUUCGAUCCAGAGAGGGCAAGAGAAAUGUGAGACAGGAUUUAAUCAUGUCAGUCCCGUGCUUCAGCAGCACAGCCCUCAGAUUCUUUAAUAAUACCAAGGAAGUAUCUUUCAUGUGAUUCCUGACUGAAUAAGAAGCUUGAAGGAAACGGGUGCAACAACAAGGCAUCUUCUUUCAUUUUCCUGAACAAGUGCAAUGAUGGUAGAUCUCAUUGGAUGCAAAGAAAAGAGGAGCAAGAGACAAUUUUUGUCUGGUUUAGAGACAGCAACUGUGCUAUAUUCUACCAUGUGCCUACAAAAUAAAUCUGCAAUUCAAGCAUAUGAGACGAGUUUACAAGCCAGCUGGAAACAAGGAUAAGCGGUUUUCACCUGCUGACCCCUGUCUUAAAGUGAGAUUGUUUUGUCAUAUAUAAAUAAUCCUUUCCACCUCCCACUUAUAACCUAAAAAUGAUGGAAGCUCAAAGCUCGGCAAGUGGCUCUCUUCCAUUCUUGUCUUGUAGCAGCCUAUCUGACUGUACUUGGCGUGUUCUUCAUUUCAGACUCCUCCAGAGGUGAAAGCAUUCAAAAAUGACUUUUAUAAAGUCUUUAGCAAAUUACCAUUUUGGUGUAUCUCUAGUACAUAGCAACAGCAGUAGAGUCGGACAAGCGCUUUGCCGGGAUUACGCAUAACUACUUGAUAUCAGUUUUCAUUACUACCUUUUCUCUGAACAAGAAGAACUGAAGAGGGUAGAUGUGCAGAGCUGCUUACUGCCUCAUUCUGCAUGGUUUCUAGAUUCCUUUUGCCAUUACAUGAGAGGCACAACAGAAGCGUUGGGAACUGAUAUUGCAGUCAGAGGUUUUUGCUUCUAUUAUACAUACAGCGUUUAUAUUAGAUUAGAUCCCAACAUUAAUAAAACAUUGAAUGUAAGUGCAAGAAUUAAUACAGUGCAAGAGCAAUUUAAAAAUGUGAGGCAAUUAGUCAGCCUUUUCUUCAGUUUGAAAAGAUUCAACUCAAUUUCCUAUUGAUAGAUCGCUUCGAGGAAUGCCAGAUCAAUAAUGUAAAGUGUUCUGGGAUUAUAACAAAAGGCAAAGUGCUUAAUAAAAGCAAGCUUCAUAGUGGGUUUUGUUAUAAUCCCACUGAUCUGAGAUAUAACGUCCUGUUUGUACACAAAGGCUGAGUAGCCUGUGCUGACUGACAAUACAGAUGGUUCCUUCUUUGGAUUGCUCAGCCAUAGAGAAAGAAUUGAUCUAGAUUAUCCAAAAGCAAUCUCAAGUUUCCCAUGUGGCUUUAAGAGCUGUACAAAACAGAACUUUGAUACUGGGCACAAAGCAAAAGUUGCCACUUCCAUUAUGCAUUUCUAGUAUGAUAAUAAUCAGAGAAUGAAUUCUUAUUUUUCUUAGGGGGAGUCCUAGUUCUGCACUAGUGGCCAGUAGUUGCUUCAGGGAACACUGUCAAACAUAUCAUCUUAGAAUAUUUACUACCAUACUGGAAGGGAAAGAAAAAAGAAUCUGUUAUCUAAUGUGACAUUAUGGGUGUUUCAGAGGUGCAGAUUGAUGUACAUGCAUGUGAUGUAUGUGCAUAACUCCAUUAGCACUAAUGGGAGUUAAUGGGUACAGCCUGCUAGAAGAGAAGAGGCUAUUUCUCUAAGUGUCGCAGGCUAAUAAAAAUGACAUUUCAAUUUAGAUGUCCAACCUUCAAUUUAGGCAGCAAGUGCUUCGGAUGAAUAUUUUGACAGUUACAGUACCAUAAUUAACUUCAGGCUCAAAUUGAUUUGUUUAUGCUUUCUAUAGUUCAUCCACAAUAUUUAAGGCCUUGAUUCUGUUCUGUGAUAUAAGGUGAAACAUUCACUUGAGUUUAGAAGCUUUGUUUUGUUGGUAUAAUAUAUUAAAAGGAUAUCACAUGCCUACUGAACUUCUUAAUCAUUUUUUAACAAAAUAUUUUAAUUGUGCUAGGUGUGUUAGUUUUUUUGGCAGAACAAACAGGAGUCAGUUCAUGUGAAUCACCAGCAUUUUGCACAAUCAGAAGAGUUGCUCACCAAAUUUAACAGACGCUGAAAGCUGUGCAGAGCUGCUGAGAGCUCUAUGGUAUUCUUGUUCUGGAGUUACUGGAACUGUGAGGGAGCAAUGAAUGGAAUAACCACACACUUCUCUCUGUCUGCAUGCCCGAUACACCUUUCAAAGGAGAUCAGGGCAAGGAAGAAGGUAGUCUCUCCUUUAGAGAUGUGCUUUAGAGAUGUACUGUGAAAUACUUCUUGGGUAUGUUUUUUUCAUUUUUCAGUUCCUAGCAAUGAACUCAUUAGAAAAAAA